rnacentral:rRNA from 1 species
CCUACGGGGUGCAGCAGUGAGGAAUAUUGGUCAAUGGACGCAAGUCUGAACCAGCCAUGCCGCGUGCAGGAUGACUGCUCUAUGAGUUGUAAACUGCUUUUGUACGAGAGUAAACCCCGAUACGUGUAUCUGGUUGCAAGUAUCGUACGAAUAAGGAUCGGCUAACUCCGUGCCAGCAGCCGCGGUAAUACGGAGGAUCCGAGCGUUAUCCGGAUUUAUUGGGUUUAAAGGGUGCGUAGGUGGUUUGAUAAGUUAGAGGUGAAAUGUCGGGGCUCAACCCAGAAACUGCCUUUAAUACUGGUAGACUAGAGAAUAGUUGCGGUAGGCGGAAUGUAUGGUGUAGCGGUGAAAUGCUUAGAGAUCAUACAGAACACCGAUUGCGAAGGCAGCUUACCAAACUAUAUCUGACGUUGAGGCACGAAAGUGUGGGUAGCAAACAGGAUUAGAUACCCGAGUAGUC